rnacentral:sRNA from 1 species
UAAUAUGAACCUAUCACCAACAGAACUGG